UACGUAGGCAGCGAGCGUUGUUCGGAGUUACUGGGCGUAAAGCGUGCGUAGGCGGUUGUCUAAGCCUGGUGUGAAAUCUCCCGGCUCAACUGGGAGGGUGCGCCGGAAACUGGAUGACUGGAGUGCCGGAGAGGUAAGCGGAAUUCCUGGUGUAGCGGUGAAAUGCGUAGAGAUCAGGAGGAACACCUGUGGUGUAGACAGCUUACUGGACGGUGACUGACGCUGAGGCACGAAAGCGUGGGUAGCAAACAGG
rnacentral:rRNA from 1 species